GGGACGGGGUGUGUUCGCCCGGAGUCAAUAGUGGGAGACCUGAAGCCUAUCGAUCUAUUCCUGGCCAGUUUGAAGCCCGGCGAAAGCUGGGUGGAGGAACGAACCGUUGCUGAUCUGCAAAUCGCUCGGAAGAGCUGGGUAUAGGGGUGAAAGUCCAAUCGAGAUGGGCAAUAGCAGGUUCCGCGCGAGACUACUCGUAGGUAGAUCUCCGUUGAGAUAGAUUGUGAUGUAGAGCACUGAUUGGGUAUUUAGGGGGAGCGAUCCCUCGGUACGCUGUCAAACUCCAAAGUUGCAAUCGUCGUAGACGCGGGGAGUGAGCCACGGUGGGUAAGCUACCGUGACGAAAGGUGAAUAAACCAGCUCAGCGUUAAGGUCCCAAAGUUCCAGUUAAGUGUUAAUGACAAACCGUGUCCGUGGUCGAAGACAACCAGAAGGUGGGCUUAGAGGCAGCCAUCCUUGAAAGAGUUCGUAACAGAUCACUGGUCAAGCUUGCGGGCCGGGAAAAUGGACGGGACUCAAACUGGACACCGAUACGCUGAACCUCCGAAAGGAGAUGUGGUAGCGCGGCGAUGUGCUCGGGCAGAAGCGAGGUCGUGAGAUCUCGUGGACCGUGUACAUAUGAGAAUCUAGGGAAGAGUAGCAGCAUAGAGUGGUGAGAAUCCGCUCCACCGAAGGGGCCAGGGUUCCUCGGCAAUGAUCAUCAGCCGAGGGUUAGCCGGUCCUAAGGACAUCCUUAACCGAGAUGUUCGAAAGGGAAAUGCGUUAAUAUUCGUAUGCCCCUCUGCAAUAGUGGUGACGGCUUGGGCUAGUUCUACCGUUCCUGUCGGGACGGCGAAGCGUAAUAAUCGAUUGGAGAACCGUCAUGGUGAGAAGAUCGAGAAGACGUGAGCAAAAGAUGAAUGAGGCCUAGGUCCCAUGAAAAACCGCAGAGGUGACCGUACCGAGAACUGACACAGGUGCCCCUGGGUGAGUAGCCUAAGGUGUGACGGGCAAAGUACCGCGAAGGAACUCGGCAAAAUCGCUCUGUAACUUCGGGAGAAGGAGUGCCAGCUUAGAGAUAAGCUGGUCGCAGUAACAAGGGGACUCCGACUGUUUAAUAAAAACAUAGCCGACUGCUAGUUCGAAAGGAUGUGUAUAGUCGGUGAAUCCUGCUCAGUGCCGGUAUCUGAAAUCGGGUUUCAACCUGACGAAGGACCGGUAAACAGCGGGGGUAACUAUGACCCUCUUAAGGUAGCGUAAUACCUUGUCGCUUAAUUGGCGACUUGCAUGAAUGGCACAACGAGAGUCCCACUGUCUCCGCGGUACGUCCGGCGAAAUUGACUAUUACUGGCGCACAGUCCAGUAACCUCAACCUGCAAGCGAAGACCCCAUAGAGCUUUACUGCAGCCUGGCGUUGUGUAUUCGCGCACCUUGUGCUGAGUAGACGGGAGAUGUUGAUCCUCGGGACGUCAGUCCCGAGAGUAGUCGUCCAUAGAGACACCGUCCUUGGUGCGUGAAUAUACUAACUCUUCUAGAGAACACCGCUUGGUGGGCAGUUUGGGUGGGGCGCCACGCGCCCGAAAAUCUAACAGGCGUGCCCAAAGGUCAGCUUAGGUGGUUCAGUCUCCACCGUAAACCGUAAGGGGAAAAGCUGGCUUGACGUGGAUCGGACCAAUAACGAUCGACGAUGCGAAAGCAGGGCCUAACGAACCAAUGUGCCUCAUUUCUGGGGGCCAUUGAUAACAGAAAAGUUACCUUGGGGAUAAUUGAGUUGUCACCAGCAA
rnacentral:rRNA from 1 species